rnacentral:rRNA from 1 species
UAAAGAAUUUCGGUCAUCGAUGGGGAUGCGUUCCAUUAGCUUGUUGGCGGGGUAACGGCCCACCAAGGCAUCGAUGGAUAGGGGUUCUGAGAGGAAGGUCCCCCACAUUGGAACUGAGACACGGUCCAAACUCCUACGGGAGGCAGCAGUGAGGAAUAUUGGUCAAUGGGCGCUAGCCUGAACCAGCCAAGUAGCGUGAAGGAUGACUGCCCUAUGGGUUGUAAACUUCUUUUAUAUGGGAAUAAAGUGCAGUAUGUAUACUGCUUUGCAUGUACCUUAUGAAUAAGGAUCGGCUAACUCCGUGCCAGCAGCCGCGGUAAUACGGAGGAUCCGAGCGUUAUCCGGAUUUAUUGGGUUUAAAGGGAGCGUAGGCGGGUUGUUAAGUCAGUUGUGAAAGUUUGCGGCUCAACCGUAAAAUUGCAGUUGAUACUGGCAUCCUUGAGUACAGUAGAGGUAGGCGGAAUUCGUGGUGUAGCGGUGAAAUGCUUAGAUAUCACGAAGAACUCCGAUUGCGAAGGCAGCCUGCUGGACUGUAACUGACGCUGAUGCUCGAAAGUGUGGGUAUCAAACAGGAUUAGAUACCCUGGUAGUCCACACAGU